AUGUACAUGCCUACAACAUAGCGUUAAUGCAUUGGAUCCUAUUAGAAUUCCACAAUUAAGCACAUUCAGGCUAGAGUAGUAUUGGGAUGGGUGACCACCUGGGAAGUCCUAGUAUUUUACAUA
rnacentral:rRNA from 1 species